UAAGGGUCCAAGUUCAGCCCACUUUGGACCCCCAAGACCCCCCUCACAGUCACUUACCCUUCAUUCUGUCACUUUUACAGAAAAUAGUCCUCUUUGUGUCUCUGGUGCUGAAGCAGAAAGCUCUGCUAGGGCUUGAACAAGUUCCUUGAUUUCCAUAGUUGAAACAUCUUUCUACCACCUCAUUAAGCUGUUAUUGGUUCUGGUUCUCUUCCACCAAGAGUUCUUUAAGAACGUUUAGCUCCAUUCGAGAGACUGUCUCCCUCCUUUACACACCUCUGAACUCCAGUUAGAGCUCUGCUAGGACAUAAGUCCUUUUGGUUUCCAGCUAGCUUCUUUGUUUAAUGCUCUCAGUUCUGUAGGUUGCUCCAGAACUCAUUUGGUCUUGCUUGGGUUACCAUUCUCUGUGUUAGUACCCCAAAAAGAUGAGAAGCAUGUGGAAGGUAGACCUGACGGUAACAGUGGUGCGGAGUAGAGGGCCCUGUCCCCUUUGGCUCUUGGGAGCAAUGUUUAAAUGGCAGUAGUCUUUUGUCAUUCCUAGUUCUAGGAGUCUUGAUUUGGUGUAACUGUUGAACUUUUGGAUUAUGUUUUGGUUAUG